rnacentral:rRNA from 1 species
UACGGGGGGGGUAAGCGUUGUUCGGAAUUAUUGGGCGUAAAGAGCUCGUAGGCGGUGUGUCACGUCGGCCGUGAAAACCUGCAGCUUAACUGUGGGCGUGCGGUCGAUACGGGCAUCACUGGAGUUCGGCAGGGGAGACUGGAAUUCCUGGUGUAGCGGUGAAAUGCGCAGAUAUCAGGAGGAACACCGGUGGCGAAGGCGGGUCUCUGGGCCGAUACUGACGCUGAGGAGCGAAAGCGUGGGGAGCAAACAGG